AACAUGUGUCCCCACAUUCAAGUUAUGGUCUGGGCAUUUUAGCCAACCACUUUCCCCGACGCACCAGAGUUCUGUGGGAGUAAUUCUUGCACAGAAAGCUCGCUGGUGUCUUAUGACUAAUACAUGUAGGAGCAAUGUUCCUUUGCUGGGUGGUGACUUCCAGAAUCUCUAGGGUCAUCUAGAUGAGAAGGAUCUUUUGUUUGCUGCAGAUGGUUUAAGUGAAAGAACCAACUGGAACCUGAGAGAUGGGAAACUGGGCAGUAAAGGAGCUAAGAAAGCAUCUGGACUGGAGGGCUCAAGAUGGUUUUGGGCAGCUCUCCUGAGUAUCUGGAUAUCCACUCGAGACACAGAGCAGCAUUCCUUCCAUGUGUGCCCGUGUAAGAUACCCGAUUUGGGUGUUCUCCCCUCGGGGACCCUGACACCCAAGAACCAAGAUCAGUCCGCACUGGAUGCAAAAAGCAAGAGGAGGAAGAGAACAAGGGCACAGCGGUUUAAACAAGCACCUCGUCUUCAGUGACACACAUGGUGGUUAGACAAGACUGACUGGCUCCACUCCAGAUCACAGCUAGUCUCCUAGAAGAUGGAGAGACGGCUCAGAACAUUUGCUGCUCUUGACGAAGACCUGGGUUCUUUUCCUGACACUCACAUCAAGGGGUUCAUGAGCCCCUGUAUCUCCACUCCCAGGGGAUCCAAUGCCUUCUUCUGACCUCCUCGGACACCUACACUUAAAUUCAUGCCCCUGUGUGUGUGUUACACACAUACACUAAUAAAAAUAAACAUUUUUAAAAAUCGUCUGUAUGUUUGCACGUGUUUGGAUUAUGUUAAAACUGGGCUAUUUAUUCACCAGAGAUCUAACACAAAUCA